CAGAGUCGUAAAAAACUCCCAACCCUAUGUGAACUUACCAUUGUUGCCUCGGCGGACCUACCCUGUAGCUACCCUGUAACGACCUACCCUGUAGCGAGUUACCCUGUAGCUGCCUGGCAGCCCGCCGGUGGACCAUUAAACUCUUGUUAUUUAUGGAUAUCUGAGCGUUUUAAACAAAUAAGUUA
rnacentral:misc_RNA from 1 species